rnacentral:lncRNA from 1 species
CAAGCUUCAGAUGAUGUGCUAACAUUCUUUCGAUAUGUAAAAGACAACAGUGAUAAGUUGUUUUUAUAUAUCUACUGAAGAGAAGACAAGACUUCUGUGUACUUUUGCGCAGUUGACCAAGGAAGAGAGAACAUGAGAUGGAAUGUAUCAGAAAUGUGAAAAGAAAGGAAGAAAGGAAGAGGAACUGGCUGGCAUGUUGUGAAACCUUCUCAAGUUAUUGGAAAUAAAUUACCUGGUCCUUUGAAAAAUCUGCUUCUCCAGCAGUGAUUAUGCUAGAAAUUCAGAAUACACAAGUAUACUUGAGUAGAUUCUAGCAAUUCUUCAAGAGGCAGCUGCAUGUCUGAGGCAACAUUCCCAUAGAAAUCACUGGAUUUGCCCUGCAGUAAGAGUCCAGCCAACUUUCAUGGA